AAUUUUCGGCAAUGGGGGCAACCCUGACCGAGCGACGCCGCGUGAGUGAAGAAGGNCUNNGGAUUNUNAAGCUCUGUUGUAAGNNNNNAACCGUACCAGAAGGGAAUGACUGGUACCUGACGGUACCUUACCAGCAAGCCACGGCUAACUACGUGCCAGCAGCCGCGGUAAUACGUAGGGGGCAAGCGUUGUCCGGAAUUAUUGGGCGUAAAGGGUGCGUAGGCGGCUUUUUAAGUCAGAUGUGAAAGACCACGGCUUAACCGUGGGGUUGCAUUUGAAACUGGAAGGCUUGAGUAUCGGAGAGGGUAGUGGAAUUCCCAGUGUAGCGGUGAAAUGCGUAGAUAUUGGGAGGAACACCAGUGGCGAAGGCGACUACCUGGACGAAAACUGACGCUGAUGCACGAAAGCUAGGGGAGCAAAC
rnacentral:rRNA from 1 species